rnacentral:rRNA from 1 species
UACGUAGGGGGCAAGCGUUGUCCGGAAUCAUUGGGCGUAAAGAGCGUGUAGGCGGCCUUACAGGUCAGCUGUGAAACUCGAGGCUCAACCUCGAGACGUCGGUUGAAACCGUAUGGCUAGAGUCCGGAAGAGGAGAGUGGAAUUCCCGGUGUAGCGGUGAAAUGACGCAGAUAUCGGGAAGAACACCCGUGGCGAAGGCGGCUCUCUGGGACGGUACUGACGCUGAGACGCGAAAGCGGUGGGGAGCGAACAGG